CAAUAACCAACCACUAAAAACUCAACUUUUUUUAGUUUAAUCGAUUUUUAAAUGGAUAAUAAAUAAUAAUAAUCGAGCAUAACAUUACCAACUGCACCAUUUAAAUAUUAUCUAUACCAAUAUUAUAAAGCUGAAGAGUUUGUUUGUUUGUCUUUGAUUGAACGCGCUAAUCUCAGGAACUACUGGUCCGAUUUGAAAAAUUCUGUCAGUGUUAGAUAGCCCAUUUAUCGGGGAAGGCCCUUUAAGAAGGGAAGACCAUUAUAUAUUAUCUCCACAUUCUUAAGGGUACGGGAACCACGCAGGUGAAACCGCGCGGCAUCAGCUACAGCUAUACUAAGCUGACAUAAAUAAGUGGUCAAAGUGGUCUUAAUAGUUAAUAUUCAAUCCCUUUCUUCCGGUAACUUUUUCCUUUCAUCCGAUCAAAUUCUAUAUAUUUCUAUGUAUGUAUAAAUAGUAUACAUAUUGUAGAUAAUAUAUUAUGUUUACAUAAUACAUUGACACAAAAUUGCAGGCGUCCGCAAGUUUGUCCGGAUGAAAACGCAAUAUCAUGACAAACUACUUGUAUAAAUCUUCAUCUUGAACCACUUUAUUUAUUAUUGAAAACCAAUAAAAACCAUUGCGUUGUGUAAAAGAUGGUGAAAAGAAUGACGUGUUAUUCUAGUAAUAAAAUUAUUCAAUUACAAAUCGAUAAGAAGUUAUUCGAUUUUUCGUGUUUCUUAUGGCAACAUCGAUUUGACUUUUUGACAGUUCAUGUCAAUAAUUGUCAAUGUCAUUCUCAUUUUAUUAAUUAGCUAAUGUAAUUGAAUUAAUUUACUUUGUAUUUGAAAUAAUAGGUACCGAAUUAUAAUUUUUCAAACCACAGCUAGAAUAUAAAUAAAACUUCUUCUCCUCACAGCUCCAGUACGAAGUUAAAUUCUAAAUUCGAAUAACUUUGACCCUGAAUCGGACCAAGUGCAACUUUAUCCCAUUUCUCAGAUGUAAACACAAGAGGACAUUUUCGCUGCAUUAAUCAAUGUUAAUAACAUUAUUAAAAUUAUUAUAGUUGGCAUUAAUUGUCAAUAAAAUGUCAGGAAAAUACGAAACAUACUCGUAAACAAGUACACAGCAGUUAUCCAGCGUCAUCCCAAGUUUGUCAAAAUUGCUGGAAAACGACUGAUAAAGCAGCAUCUUGCAAACCGCUCUUCAUGGAUCGCUCCACGAAUAUUCUAGGAGAGCCACACUACGGGAGGAAUGGCAGGCUUGCCACUGCACCCAAAUGACGACCACGACCACUCUGUCAAGAGUGUAACGACAAAAAAGAAGAAGAGCUGUUCGGAGAGCGAUAUUUUUUUUAGAGCUGUUGAAACAAGAAGAUUCACAAAAAAAAUUGCAUUACAAUAUUUAUACAAAGCAAAAAAGCUUACAAAUCAAUGCAUUGACUUUUUGUAUUGUAUUGUAUGUACACGAACAAUCCAGAAUAGUCUUGCAAUCAAGCCUGACAUCAAUUAUAUUGUAAUACAACAUCAUAAAAAGCUAUACAAAAAUUACCAGAUGAAAAAAAAUACCUUAUAUUUGAUGAAGUAGCAAUAACUCCUGUAUUAUAAUAUCUUAUAACCUGUGAUAUAAUUAUUAUUGGUUUGGAAGAUUUUGGGCACCAUAAGACCAAUGAAAUUGCUGAUGUUGAAUUGUUUAUAGUCAAGGGUAAAUAUAAGCAGCCUAUAUAUCUGUUACCUUGACACUACACAUCUAAAAGGAUUGAGAAACAACCUUACAAAGAAUAUAAGAUACAUUCGAAAUGGAGAAGUUAAGCAUGCUUGCAAAAUGGCAACAUCUACAUUACAGAAUACAGAUGCUUCUUUUUCUUAAUCCUGAUCCUGAUCCUGUUUGUUAAUUUUUAAAGCACAACAAUUUAAUGGAGGUGUGGAAUCGAUCUGAUUGAUGGUAGAGUCAAAACACAGACGAGGGAACUCCUCAAUGAUUUACAACAGUUAUCAUGUGUUUGGGUUUAAUUAAUUUGUAUAUACUAACAUAAAAAACAAAUAAAUCGUACUUGUAUGUCUCAGUGUGGAAAGGAUUUAGUUUAUGUCAUUCCAAAACAAUAAACUGUAUUUGCACAAAAAUUCAUAGAUUUUCUUGGUCCUAAAUUAUAUAAUGCCAUAAGCAAGUAUAUAAUGUUAAGAAAUUUUACAAGUAAUAAAUUAAAAGCAGAGUUGAUUAAAUAUCUUUACACCUUAUAUUACAACCAAGUUGAGGAUCUUCUUAAGAACAUAAUAUAGCCAAUUAAUGCAAACGUAUAUUCAACCAAUUUAAUACCAUAUUACCAAUAUUCACACACAAACAUACACAAUGUAACUUCACUAAUGUUCCUUCAAGAACAAAGACAUUUUUCACGCUUACUCAAAACCCCUCAUAAUUUAUUUAUUGUAUUAAUAUUUAAUAUAUUAUUAAUGUACCUAUGUAUAGUUAAAUACAGUACAUUCAGAAACAAAUUAUAUUAAUAUACAUAACUAGAAUUAUGUACUUUACAUUCUUCUACAUUACUACAAUACUUACUUAUUACUUAUUGUGAGAAAUAACAUUUUAGAUGCAUUCAAUAAUUAAAAGCUUCCCCAUUUUUACUCCUACCAGCGAACAUUGUUCGAUGUGAUUAUUUGUUUUAAUAUUAAUUUAUGUUUCAAGAUGAAUAUGUGUACAUUGUAAAACUUGGGCACGAGGAAUAAUGACUCACUGUAAUACAGUUUUAUACUAGUACAGGAGUUGUUGUAAUUUGUACCUAGGCUUAAAGAUAAAUAAAGAUAAAUAUACUUUAUUUGCACACCACAAAGACAAAAACAAGUGAAAUAAAAAACAAAUUAAGAAGAGAUCAGCAUACAAAAGGCGGCCUUAUCGCUAAGUAGCGAUUUCUUCCAGGCAACCUUCGGUUUAGGAAAACUUAAGGACAUCAGCAGGUGGCGUAAAACAAAAAUAACCAUAGUAUUAGUAAUACACAUACAUACAAAUAAUUCAAAGGCUUCACACAUCUUUAUAUUGCAAUAAAAAAUGUACUUACUAUUUAGCUAUUUUACUGUUAAAUAUAAUUUGUAUAUGUAAUUUGUACAUGUAAACAUUCAUCUUUAUUAAUAUUAGUAAAGAUUUAGCUUAAGAUACAUAUUAUUAACUGUAACACUUUUGUACAAUAAAUAAAUAAAUAAAUUGAUGAGAACUUUCUACCUAGA